UAUUUAAAAGACUCGUUGAGAAUGAGAUUCCAUUAUGGAGGAGAUCAUAGCCACAAAUAUUAAGGGAACGGGUGGCGAGUGUUGUGGCUUUCUUGGUCUGAUACGGGUGGUUGGGUUUGUAAUGGAAAUAAUGAUUGUUGUGGGCUGGUUUCCUAUUCACUGAAUUUUGGAUCGAUUUGUUGUUUCUGCGGACAAUGACCCUAAUACGAGUGACGCAGUCAGGAGCCGACAAAUUGACUAAGUUAUUUAAAGGAGCUAAAUCGCUAACAUUUGGGACCAAGAAAUUGACAAAAGUGGGUCGCAACGCAUAUAAUACUGUAAUAUGAAUGUAUAUAAACUGAUUUACAUUCAAUGCUCAUGGUUUCCGUUUUACUCCAAUUUCAAAUCAGUUAUAGUCGGCGAAAUAAACCAGCAGUCUCAAGCGAGUGCAAAUUUCUAGCGUCUGGUUAUUCCAGUCUACAUACGCCGUUUGAUUUGGUGCAAUGUGUCUAGCCUCGUCCCUCGAGUCUCUUGAUACAACUGGAACUGAAGCGCAUUAUGGUGCAUGAUUCGUGUACCAAUGGUAGAAUGUUUAUUUUGUCUUAAAUAUUGGAUAUCAAAAGCCCAUCUUUUUCCGAUUGGGGAUGAAAAUACCUUCAAUUUUGGUGAUCGGAUUUUAAGACGCGUGACCCGUGCUAAAGACCCCCCAGUGUACGUCAUACAUGAUUUCUUAAAAGAGGAUGAGGCCGACAAGUUAAGAAACCAUGCUGUAAAAAUGGAUUUAGAGCCGAGUACUUCUCAUGCUGAUGGAAUAACCUUUCCAUAUAAAGGAUUUGGAAGAAAAAGUAAAACUACAUGGAUACAUCAUACAGAUUAUGAUAAGAUUGUUAAAAAACUAAGCAGACGGUUCAAACGGUUAACAGAAUUACCAAUACAGUAUAUAGAGAAUGCUGAAAUGCUUCAGGUUGUACAAUAUAAAAAACACGGCCAUUAUUAUACACAUACUGAUUCACAUAAUACUGUUGCCAACCGUCCAUGUUGUGGUAAGGUCGAGUGUGAUGAAAACAGCAAAUUUUGUUGUCAGUUAUGCAGAUAUAUAACAGUGAUGGUAUAUCUAAAUGAUGUCAAUGAAGGGGGUGAGACUGUUUUUCCAGUUGCAGAUGCUAGCGACGAAACGUUAAAGAAAUACCAAAAAGAAAAGCCGUAUGAUUUGUCUAAACAUUGUUAUAAUUCAUCGCUUAUUAUAACACCAAGCAAAGGAAUGGCUGUCAUGUGGUAUAAUCACAAGCUAAAUCCAAGGUUUUCUGGAUUAGGAGAUCUCAUAGAGCGUUCAUAUCAUGGUGGAUGUGAUGUAAUAAAGGGUGAAAAAUGGAUUGCAAAUCUGUGGAUUGUUGUUGACCCUUAAAUUUGACAACGCAAAUACAUCCUUUUAACAAUUAAUUUUGUGAUACAAUGAAUUCAUUGAUACUUAUCAGUAAUGGGCAAUAAAAAAAUUACUAUAUAAUAAAAAAUUUAUACAGAAAA